UGUCACCGUCGAUGUCGGAGAUUCAAGCUGUUGAUCUCCUGUUCCUGUCAGAGUUUCCAUUAAUACAUUACCAAAAACCAUUCAAAUGUUGUUGAGGAGCUGAUUUGUUAAGGUUAUUGUUUUGGUAAUGGAGAAGCUUUGAUUCUCUAGCUAGUCUUGCUUCAGCUUCGAGCCUAGCACUCUCCCAUUGAGCCAUAUGGCUAAGCGUGGCUGCGUUCUUGGAUUGACCUGUGGAAGACGAAAGGGUCUCGUUUUUGUGCUUGUGAGUCACUGGAUCGAUUCCCAUUUUAAGCAGACGUUUCUUCAGGUCUUAGGUAGUUAGUCCAUCUGAGUCUGCAACUCUUUCCGCACCUUUGCAGACCUAUAAGGAGUUUGAAGAAAGGUUUUAAAAGAGAUAGAUGACAAGAAGAAGAUGUGUGGUUUGUGAGUAAAAGAGCAGAAAAAUGUGAGGUUACUUACCAGCUUUCUCAGGCAAAGAACGCCAGCUUCCAUGGCCAUGUUCUUCAAUAUAAGCCAAAAGUUUCUGAUCCUCUUCUGGUGUCCAAGGCCCUUUCUUCAACCCGGCCUUAUCACAACACGGUGAUCUACCCAUUAAAUCCGCAACACAAAUUAGACUAAUUUACUGAAGAAGGAGAAGAAGCUUCAGUCUGAUCCUCCACUGUGUAUAAUGUGUGGAAUAGCUAUCAUUAUAGUGAUCACUAUAAUCACAAAGGCUGCUCACUUGGCGUCACUCUGAUAUAUAGAUGGAGAAACACAACAGAAGAUGUCUCUGUUUAGGUCCUGUAAGCGCCCCUUUUCCCGGUCUCUGACAUGGAUUGGCAUUCAAUUAGAUGGGGUCGAGAGAUAUUAUUACC